rnacentral:rRNA from 1 species
ACCCUUUAAUGGCUGGUGUUCUAACGUAGACCCGUGAUCCGGGUUGCGGACAGUGUCUGGUGGGUAGUUUGACUGGGGCGGUCUCCUCCCAAAGAGUAACGGAGGAGCACGAAGGUUAGCUAAUCCUGGUCGGACAUCAGGAGGUUAGUGCAAUGGCAUAAGCUAGCUUGACUGCGAGAGUGACGGCUCGAGCAGGUGCGAAAGCAGGUCAUAGUGAUCCGGUGGUUCUGAAUGGAAGGGCCAUCGCUCAACGGAUAAAAGGUACUCCGGGGAUAACAGGCUGAUACCGCCCAAGAGUUCAUAUCGACGGCGGUGUUUGGCACCUCGAUGUCGGCUCAUCACAUCCUGGGGCUGAAGUAGGUCCCAAGGGUAUGGCUGUUCGCCAUUUAAAGUGGUACGCGAGCUGGGUUUAGAACGUCGUGAGACAGUUCGGUCCCUAUCUGCCGUGGGCGCUGGAGAAUUGAGGGGGGCUGCUCCUAGUACGAGAGGACCGGAGUGGACGCAUCACUGGUGUUCGGGUUGUCAUGCCAAUGGCACUGCCCGGUAGCUAAAUGCGGAAAAGAUAAGUGCUGAAAGCAUCUAAGCACGAAACUUGCCCCGAGAUGAGUUCUCCCUGAGACUUUAAGUCUCCUGAAGGAACGUUGAAGACGACGACGUUGAUAGGUCGGGUGUGUAAGCGCAGCGAUGCGUUGAGCUAACCGA